AUUGAACGCUGGCGGCAUGCCUUACACAUGCAAGUCGAGCGGCAGCACGGGAGCAAUCCUGGUGGCGAGUGGCGAACGGGUGAGUAAUAUAUCGGAACGUGCCCAGUCGUGGGGGAUAACGUAGCGAAAGCUACGCUAAUACCGCAUACGAUCUAUGGAUGAAAGCGGGGGAUCGCAAGACCUCGCGCGAUUGGAGCGGCCGAUAUCAGAUUAGGUAGUUGGUGAGGUAAAGGCGCACCAAGCCGACGAUCGGUAGCUGGUCUGAGAGGACGACCAGCCACACUGGGACUGAGACACGGCCCAGACUCCUACGGGAGGCAGCAGUGGGGAAUUUUGGACAAUGGGCGCAAGCCUGAUCCAGCAAUGCCGCGUGCAGGAUGAAGGCCUUCGGGUUGUAAACUGCUUUUGUACGGAACGAAACGGCGAGCUCUAAUACAGUUUGCUAAUGACGGUACCGUAAGAAUAAGCACCGGCUAACUACGUGCCAGCCGCCGCGGUAA
rnacentral:rRNA from 1 species